UGUUGGAUUGUCUGCAAAGCGCUGAACCAAAGAGAGGAAUAUAAUGUGUAAAUAUAAUUCGUUAUUCAAAUACGAACUUCUUUGCUUGAUUGCUAGAAUUUCAGUAUAAAUCAGAUAUUAGUUAUUUGACCUUCAUUUACCCUUUCUCAAACCCUAGCAGCCACAACACCAACUCUAGCCGAUCCUUCAGAACCCAAAACUGAGCCCAUCUCUGCAAUAGCAUCGGCUUCUCCAGGGAUAAAUCAAGACGGGCUCCCUGCAGGUCAGGGUGUCUUGCCAAGUACAACCAGGUCACAGUCAUGACUCAUGAUCACCAGCAAUAAUCUCAUCAAGGUCCCAGGAGGAAUCACGAGAAUUCACUGCCGAAUUGGUUUUUUUUUUUAAGUUUAUUUGGUUGCUGGAAAGAAACCGUGAAAUGAAGGGCUCUAGAGUAUGAUCAUUUGUGCCUCAAAUUUGGUAAGGUUUCUUUCCCCUAUAUAAUUUUGAUUGGUACUUGUAGAUUUUCAUCAUAAAUUAUUGUAUUCUCUUGCAAAGUUCAUUUUUGACACUUAUGUAAACUUUAACCCACUUCACCAGAUAACUUAAAUCUGUUUUGUUUGAUCAUUAUGUUAUAAUAUUCUAUGUGGUUGCAAGUUUGAAAAAUGGAGGGAGACAGAUCAGUUAUGAACAAAUUAGCAUGGUUCAUCCUAAUGCUAUAUAAGUUAGGUUGCUGAUUUGUUUCCUUAUUUCUUCAUUGGUGAUUUGUAUUUUUAGUGACUUUCCAUUCUUGGGUAAUAAGUUUUUGUCAAGAGUUAAUGUGUUCAGUUCUUUUUUUAAUUUUGGUUAUGUGUGGUUCUGUGUCAUGUGAUUCGAGGUUCCAAAAGAGAAACAUUACUUCUUUUAUUUGGUCAGAGGAGUGGGGAGGAAGUUCUGUUCAAUUUUGGUUUUUCCGAUGGCUUAGGAAGAAAUUAUGUCACUAUUGAUAUUGUAGGUGUCCAGCUUGCAGAAAUUACAAAGUAAUGCUACAAUAGAUGUAUCCCUUGGUUUGUCAUUUUGUUACUUGAUUACUCAGGUUAUAUUUGGGUGCCCUAUGCUUCGUUCUACAAUCAAUGUUUGCCAUGAUUUUAGAAACAGUUUAGGGUGCAUGUGGGGAUUUGAUUUGAUUUCUAAUAAGAGGCAUGAAAGUAAGCAAGUUGUUGGUAAGAAAUCCAAAGAAUUGUAGUUGGAGGAAACAUUCUUUAUUCCUCAUCUUUUGUAAAUUUUUCAGUUUGUGA